CAUGGAUAGGACAGGUUUGGAGGGGUGUGGACCAAACGCGGGUAGGUGGGAAUAGAGUAGCUGGGACAUGUUGGCCAGUGUGGGCAAGAUGGGCUGAAUGGCCUGUUUCCACGCUGUAUCACUCUAUGACUCUCU